CCUACGGGUGGCAGCAGUAGGGAAUAUUGCGCAAUGGACGAAAGCCUGACGCAGCGACGCCGCGUGAGGGAUGAAGGUCUUCGGAUCGUAAACCUCUGUCAGCAGGGAAGAACGGUCCCGGUACUAAUCAGCCGUUAAUUGACGGUACCUGCAUAGGAAGCACCGGCUAACUCCGUGCCAGCAGCCGCGGUAAUACGUAGGGGGCGAGCGUUAAUCGGAAUUACUGGGCGUAAAGCGGUCGUAGGCGGUAUGUCAAGUCAAGGGUGAAAGCCCCGCGCUCAACGUGGGAAUUGCAGUUGAAACUGGUAAACUGGAGUGUGGGAGAGGAGAGUGGAAUUCCAGGUGUAGGAGUGAAAUCCGUAGAUAUAGGGAGGAACAUCAGUGGCGAAGGCGACUCUCUGGUACAUAACUGACGCUGAGGAGCGAAAGCGUGGGUAGCAAACAGGAUUAGAUACCCUGGUAGUC
rnacentral:rRNA from 1 species